CGUACCCGUACCGUAAACCGACACAGGUGGAUGAGGAGAGAAUCCUAAGGCCGGCGGGAGAAGCAUUGUUAAGGAACUCGGCAAAAUGACCCCGUAACUUCGGGAGAAGGGGUGCUCACGCAAGUGAGCCGCAGAGAACUGGCCCAAGCAACUGUUUAGCAAAAACACAGGUCUAUGCAAAACCGAAAGGUGAGGUAUAUGGGCUGACGCCUGCCCGGUGCUGGAAGGUUAAGAGGAGAUGUUAGAGCAAUCGAAGCAUUGAAUUUAAGCCCCAGUAAACGGCGGCCGUAACUAUAACGGUCCUAAGGUAGCGAAAUUCCUUGUCGGGUAAGUUCCGACCCGCACGAAAGGCGUAAUGAUUUGGGCACUGUCUCGACAAUGCACCCGGUGAAAUUGAAAUACCAGUGAAGAUGCUGGUUACCUGCGCCAGGACGGAAAGACCCCAUGGAGCUUUACUCUAGCUUGAUACUGGGAUUCGGUAUUGCAUGUACAGGAUAGGUGGGAGACUAAGAGGUGAUGACGCCAGUUGUCACGGAGUCGAUGUUGGGAUACCACCCCUGCAGUACUGGGUUUCUAACCUGCGGCCGUGACCCGGCCGGGGGACAAUGUCUGGUGGGGAGUUUGACUGGGGCGGUCGCCUCCGAAAGGGUAUCGGAGGCGCUCAAAGGUUCCCUCAGAAUGGUUGGAAACCAUUCGAAGAGUGCAAAGGCAGAAGGGAGCUUGACUGCGACACCGACGGGUGGAGCAGGUACGAAAGUAGGACUUAGUGAUCCGGUGGUAUGAAAGUGGGAUUGCCAUCGCUCAACGGAUAAAAGCUACCCUGGGGAUAACAGGCUUAUCACUCCCAAGAGUUCACAUCGACGGAGUGGUUUGGCACCUCGAUGUCGGCUCAUCGCAUCCUGGGGCUGUAGUAGGUCCCAAGGGUUGGGCUGUUCGCCCAUUAAAGCGGUACGCGAGCUGGGUUCAGAACGUCGUGAGACAGUUCGGUCCCUAUCCGGCGUGGGCGCAGGAUAUCUGAGAGGAGCUGUCCUUAGUACGAGAGGACCGGGAUGGACUGACCUCUGGUGCA
rnacentral:rRNA from 1 species